GACGUAGGGCGCGAGCGUUGUCCGGAUUUAUUGGGCGUAAAGAGCUCGUAGGCGGCUUGUCGCGUCGACUGUGAAAACCCGCAGCUCAACUGUGGGCUUGCAGCCGAUACGGGCAGGCUAGAGUUCGGUAGGGGAGACUGGAAUUCCAAGGUUGUAGCGGUGAAAUGACGUGAGAUAUCUGGAAGAACACCGGUGGCGCAGGCGGCGUUCUGGACUGUAUCUGACGCUGAGGCGGCGAAAGCUAGGGGAGCGAACGGG
rnacentral:rRNA from 1 species